rnacentral:rRNA from 1 species
GACGAACGCUGGCGGCGUGCCUAAUACAUGCAAGUUGAGCGCUUAAGGUUGGUACUUGUACCGACUGGCUGAGCAGCGAACGUGUGAGUAACGCGUGGGGAAUCUGCCUUUGAGCGUGGGACAACAUUUGGAAACGAAUGCUAAUACCGCAUAACAACUUUAAACACAAGUUUUAAGUUUGAAAGAUGCAAUUGCAUCACUCAAAGAUGAUCCCGCGUUUUAUUAGCUAGUUUGUGAGGUAAAGGCUCACAAAGGCGAUGAUACAUAGCCGACCUGAGAGGGUGGAGGGCCAAAAUGGGACUGAGAAAAGGACCAAAAAACUAAGGGAGGCAGCAGGAGGGAAGAUUAGGAAAUGGACGAAAGGCUGACCGAGCAAAGCAGCGUGAGUGAAGAAGGGUAUCGGAUCGUAAAAAUCAGUUGGUAGAGAAGAAAGUUGGUGAGAGUGGAAAGCACAUAAAGUGACGGUAACUAACAAGAAAGGGACGGCUAACUACGUG